rnacentral:rRNA from 1 species
AUUGAACGCUGGCGGCAGGCCUAACACAUGCAAGUCGAACGAGUGGCGGACGGGUGAGUAAUGUCUGGGAAACUGCCUGCUGGAGGGGGAUACCUACUGGAAACGGUAGCUAAUACCGCAUACCAUCAGAUGUGCCCGGAUGGGAUUAGCUUGUUGGUGGGGUAACGGCUCACCAAGGCGACGAUCCCUAGCUGGUCUGAGAGGAUGAUCAGCCACACUGGAACUGAGACACGGUCCAGACACCUACGGGAGGCAGCAGGUGGGCAUAUUGCACAAUGGGCGCAAGCCUGAUGCAGCCAUGCCGCGUGUAUGAAGAAGGCCUGCGCGUUGUCAAGUACUUUCAGCGGGGAGGCGUUACCCUUAGAACAAGCAACGGCUAACUCCGUGCCAGCAGCCGCGGUAAUAC